rnacentral:piRNA from 2 species
UAUUUCUGCCAACGUAGCUCUGCCUGC